CUGCAGUCGACGCUGAAGCCUGGUGCUUGCACCGGGUGGAUGAGUGGCGAACGGGUGAGUAACACGUGAGUAACCUGCCCCUGACUUCGGGAUAAGCCCGGGAAACUGGGUCUAAUACCGGAUACGACUGCCGGACGCAUGUCUGGUGGUGGAAAGUUUUUUCGGUUGGGGAUGGGCUCGCGGCCUAUCAGUUUGUUGGUGAGGUAAUGGCUCACCAAGACGACGACGGGUAGCCGGCCUGAGAGGGCGACCGGCCACACUGGGACUGAGACACGGCCCAGACUCCUACGGGAGGCAGCAGUGGGGAAUAUUGCACAAUGGGGGAAACCCUGAUGCAGCGACGCAGCGUGCGGGAUGACGGCCUUCGGGUUGUAAACCGCUUUCAGCAGGGAAGAAGCGCAAGUGACGGUACCUGCAGAAGAAGUACCGGCUAACUACGUGCCAGCAGCCGCGGUAAUACGUAGGGUACGAGCGUUGUCCGGAAUUAUUGGGCGUAAAGAGCUCGUAGGUGGUUGGUCACGUCUGCUGUGGAAACGCAACGCUUAACGUUGCGCGUGCAGUGGGUACGGGCUGACUAGAGUGCAGUAGGGGAGUCUGGAAUUCCUGGUGUAGCGGUGAAAUGCGCAGAUAUCAGGAGGAACACCGGUGGCGAAGGCGGGACUCUGGGCUGUAACUGACACUGAGGAGCGAAAGCAUGGGGAGCGAACAGGAUUAGAUACCCUGGUAGUCCAUGCCGUAAACGUUGGGCACUAGGUGGUGGGGGGGCAUUCCACGUUCUCCGCGCCGUAGCUAACGCAUUAAGUGCCCCGCCUGGGGGAGUACGGUCGCAAGGCUAAAACUCAAAGGAAUUGACGGGGGCCCGCACAAGCGGCGGAGCAUGCGGAUUAAUUCGAUGCAACGCGAAGAACCUUACCAAGGCUUGACAUACACCGGGACCGUCCUGGAAACAGGUCCUCUUCUUUGAAGCUGGUGUACAGGUGGUUGCAUGGUUGUCGUCAGCUCGUGUCGUGAGAAUGUUGGGGUUAAGUCCCGCAACGAGCGCAACCCUCGUUCUAUGUUGCCAGC
rnacentral:rRNA from 1 species